UACGGGGGGAGCAAGCGUUGUUCGGAUUUACUGGGCGUAAAGGGCGCGUAGGCGGUCAGCACAAGUCAGUUGUGAAAUCUCCGGGCUUAACUCGGAAAGGUCAACUGAUACUGUGCGACUAGAGUGCAGAAGGGGCAACUGGAAUUCUCGGUGUAGCGGUGAAAUGCGUAGAUAUCGAGAGGAACACCUGCGGCGAAGGCGGGUUGCUGGGCUGACACUAACGCUGAGGCGCGAAAGCCAGGGGAGCGAACGGG
rnacentral:rRNA from 1 species